GCCCUUCCCUGUUAUCCUGGACAUUUGGAGCGAAUCCACCUUCAUCACCAACAUUGCAUGCAUCUUGACCGUACUUAGCUUUGAUAAUUCCCUUUAGAGUGUGGUAGACUUCACUACCCAUACGAAGUGCCUCAGCAAAUGUUGGUGCUCCAACAGGUAGAAUCAUGAACUCUUGCAUAGCCAAAUUGUUGCCAGCAUGGCUCCCUCCAUUUAUCACGUUGAAUGCUGGAACUGGCAUUACAAGUUCUUUGGUUCCAGAUAUUUCUUGAAUGUGUUUAUACAAAGGUACUGCUUUUGCUCCAGCACCAGCUCUACACACACUGAGAGAAACUCCAAGAAUGGCAUUAGCUCCAAGUUUUGAUUUAUUAGGAGUUCCAUCAAUCUCCAGCAUAACAGCAUCAACAUCAGUUUGGUUCCUUACAUCAACACCAACAAGUUUGGGGCCUAAAUAUUCGUUAAUAUUCUUUACAGCAUUGAGGACCCCUUUACCACCAUAGAGGCUCUUGUCACCAUCUCUGAGCUCCAAUGCCUCAUAGAUCCCGGUGGAAGCGCCACUUGGAACCGCCGAUCGGUACAGUAGAUCAUCGCCGGUGACCAGAUCAACCUCGACGGUAGGAUUUCCCCUGCUAUCUAUGAUCUGCCUUGCCUUAACAGACUUCACCUUGGCUGAUGCCUUGGAUGCAGUUGCCGAUGGUGCAACGGCGACGGAGCACCGGACGGUGGAAGACGACCUCCGAGAUUGAAUCUUCUGGGUAGCAGGUAAUGAGAAAAGCGGCGUCUGUGAUGUGGGUUUGGUGGAGAAAAAAGUCUUAGAGAGCUGCGCUGGAGCCAAGGCCAUUUCUUUUGUGUGCAACUUUUUUCAGAGCAAAAGCGGUUUUGGGAUUAUUUAAAUGGAGGGAAAAGGUUUAUAGGAAAGUUCGCCGAAGGGCGAAGAAAGCAAGAAUUUGGUAAUGAAAAUGGCUUCGAUGGUGG
rnacentral:misc_RNA from 1 species